rnacentral:siRNA from 1 species
CCAACUGAUGAAGAUGUUCUAAG